rnacentral:rRNA from 1 species
AUAGCCAUGCAUGUCUAAGUACAUACCUGCUUAAGGUGAACCGCGAAUGGCUCANUAAAUCAGUUACGGUUCCUUCUAUAUUAAAAAUUUACAUGGAUAACUGUGGUAAUUCUAGAGCUAAUACAUGCACAAAAGAUCCAACCCUACGGGAAGGAUCGCAUUUAUUAGACCAAGAUCAAUGGGAUCCUCACGGGUCCCUAUCUAUGGUGACUCUGAAUAACUGAGCUGAUCGCACGGCCUAUGCGCCGGCGACGAAUAGUUCAAGUGUCUGCCUUAUCAACUUUCGAUGGUAGGUUAUGCGCCUACCAUGGUUGUAACGGGUAACGGGGAAUCAGGGUUCGAUUCCGGAGAGGGAGCCUGAGAAACGGCUACCACAUCCAAGGAAGGCAGCAGGCACGCAAAUUACCCACUCCCGGCACGGGGAGGUAGUGACGAAAAAUAACAAUACAGGACUCUAAUGAGGCCCUGUAAUUGGAAUGAGUACAAUUUAAAUCCUUUAACNAGGAUCUAUUGGAGGGCAAGUCUGGUGCCAGCAGCCGCGGUAAUUCCAGCUCCAAUAGCGUAUAUUAAAGUUGUUGCGGUUAAAAAGCUCGUAGUUGGAUUUCAGUCCAUGCUAUGUGGUCCACUUGCCGGUGGCUACUGCAUANCUGGACAUUUUACAGACCUGUCUUGCGAUGCUCUUCAUCGGGUGUCGUGAGCGAUCUGUACGUUUACUUUGAAAAAAUUAGAGUGCUUNAAGCANGCAAAUUGCCANAAUAAUCUUGCAUGGAAUAAUGGAAUAGGACCUCGGUUCUAUUUGUUGGUCUUCGGAUCUGAGUAAUGAUUAAGAGGACAGACGGGGCUUCUAUUGCGGCCUGAGGUGAAUU